rnacentral:lncRNA from 1 species
CUCAGAGGUUCAACAUUCAAUUUCGAGCCUCCCGAUAUAUUACGUCACUGAAUCGGACAUCCGAGUAAAAAGUUAUUGUCGUUUAAAUUGGCUCAGAGGUUCAACAUUCAAUUUCGAGCGUCUCGAUAUAUUACCGGACUCAAUCAGACAUCCGAGUAAAAAGUUAUUGUCGUUUGAAUUGGCUCAUAGGUUCAACAUUCAAUUUCGAGCGUCUGGAUAUAUUACGGGACUCAAUCAGACAACCGAGUAAAAAGUUAUUGUCGUUUGAAUUGGCUCAGAGCUUCAACAUUCAAUUUCGAGCGUCUCGUUAUAUUAUGGGACUCAAUCAGACAUCCGAGUAAAAAGUUAUUAUCGUUUGAAUUGGCUCAUAGGUUCAACAUUAAAUUUCGAGCGUCUCGAUAUAUUACGGGACUCAAUCAGACAACCGAGUAAAAAGUUAUUGUCGUUUGAAUUGGCUCAGAGCUUCAACAUUCAAUUUCGAGCGUCUCGAUAUAUUAUGGGACUCAAUCAGACAUCCGAGUAAAAAGUUAUUGUCGAUUGAAUUGGCUCAUAGGUUCAACAUUCAAUUUCGAGCGUCUGGAUAUAUUACGGGACUCAAUCAGACAUCCGAGUAAAAAGUUAUUGUCGUUUGAAUUGGCUCAUAGGUUCAACAUUCAAUUUCGAGCGUCUCGAUAUAUUACGAGACUCAGUCAAACAUC